AUAAUGCCUGUAAGAGGAAGGAAACACCGCCAAGAAACCAGGCCAUGAACUACAAUAACCUUCAGAAACACUUGUUCUAACAUUUCCUUAUGAUCAUUUUAUGUAUCUUCUUUUUAACCAGUAAGUUUAUGGUUCAACUAGUGCUUACAAGUAAAUGCACCGUGGGCUGCAAGUAUUGUAUCAUAGGUGCUAUAUACAUAAAGAUUACUAUUAUGGUUCAUUAUUAAAAUGAGUGGAAUCACUUUUUAUGUUCUCCCAUCUUCGAGUCAUCGUCGGCAUUUCUGGGGAGACAUUGAUUAACAUAUAGAAUCUCAUUGUUGUAUUUCGUCCAAUGGCAGCUUGAAUACAAUGUUGACACAGUAGGUACAUUCCAUACACUAAAACACUCCCCCACCCCAACACAAUGUUGACACAGUAGGUACAUUCCAUACACUAAAACACUCCCCCCACCCCAACACAAUGUUGACACAGUUGGUACAUCCCAUACACUAAACCCCCACCACACUGUGUCUGUAAUGACACAGUAGGUACAUUCCAUACACUAAACCCCCACCACACUGUGUCUGUAAUGAGACAGUUGGUACAUCCCAUACACUAAACCCCCACCACACUGUGUCUGUAAUGAGACAGUUGGUACAUCCCAUACACUAAACCCCCCAACACACUGUGUCUGUAAUGAGACAGUUGGUACAUCCCAUACACUAAACCCCCACCACACUGUGUCUGUAAUGAGACAGUUGGUACAUCCCAUACACUAAACCCCCACCACACUGUGUCUGUAAUGAGACAGUUGGUACAUCCCAUACACUAAACCCCCACCACACUGUGUCUGUAAUGAGACAGUUGGUACAUCCCAUACACUAAACCCCCACCACACUGUGUCUGUAAUGAGACAGUUGGUACAUCCCAUACACUAAACCCCCACCACACUGUGUCUGUAAUGAGACAG